GUCGAGAGGGUUCGGCCCUCGGCAGACUGCUCAGUAACACGUGGAUAAUCUACCCUUAGGUGGAGGAUACUCUCGGGAAACUGAGAAUAAUACUCCAUAGGUCUAGGAUGCUGGAAUGCACCUAGGUUGAAAGUUCCGGCGCCUAAGGAUGAGUCUGCGGACUAUCAGGUAGUAGUCAGGGUAAAGACCUGACUAGCCUACGACGGAUACGGGUUGUGAGAGCAAUAGCCCGGAGACGAUAUCUGAGACACGAUAUCGGGCCCUACGGGGCGCAGCAGGCGCGAAAUCUUCACAAUGUGCGAAAGCACGAUGAGGGGAUCCCAAGUGUUGGUUCGUAAGAGCCAUCUGUUUCUUUGUCUAAAAAACAGAGAGAGUAGGAGCUGGGUAAGACGGGUGCCAGCCGCCGCGGUAAUACCUGCAGCUCAAGUGGUGGCCGCUAUUAUUGGGCCUAAAACGUCCGUAGCCGGUUUAGUAAAUGCCUGGGUAAAUUGUGUAGCUCAACUAUACGAAUACCGGGUAGACUGCUAAACUUGGAACCGGGAGAGGCUAGAGGUACUCCUAGGGUAGAGGUGAAAUUCUGUAAUCCUAGGGGGACCACCAGUGGCGAAGGCGUCUAGCCAGAACGGGUUUGACGGUGAGGGACGAAGCCCUGGGGCGCAAACCGGAUUAGAUACCCGGGUAGUCCAGGGUGUAAACGCUGCUCGCUUGAUGUUAGUCGGGCUCCGAGCCCAACUAGUGUCGGAGAGAAGUUGUUAAGCAAGCUGCCUGGGGAGUACGGUCGCAAGGCUGAAACUUAAAGGAAUUGGCGGGGGAGCACAGCAACGGGUGGAGCGUGCGGUUUAAUUGGAUUCAACGCCGGGAAGGGC
rnacentral:rRNA from 1 species